UGUAAGUUCUGUAUACCUUGUUUCCUCACACCAAUUAAUUUCAAUAGGGUCUCCACAAUAGCAGAUAAUAAGAAUUGUGGAGAGCAAAUAGAAACCUUUUUUAACUGAAAUUAACUUUUAUUAAUAUCGAAAAAGCUUCUAACAUUUCUGGGCUCCAGAUGGUUUCGAUCUAUGGGCGACACGAGAGUACCAUCCUAUGGUGGAAUGACAUUUGAAAGUUAUUGUAAUGUUUAAAACGCCUUAAAGUUUUUGAUAACGGCACCUUCCUGAUUGAAGCUCUAAGUUAGCUUCGGUUCGGGUUACGUCAGGGACGCACGAUUCGAAAG